CGGACGGGUGAGUAACACGUAAGAAUUUGCCUUUAGGAGGGGGAUAAUAACUGGAAAUGGUUGGUAAUACCCCAUAUGCUUUCGAGUGAAAUGGAUUUUUCCGCCUAGAGAGAAGCUUGCGCCUGAUUAGCUUGUUGGUAAGGUAAUGGCUUACCAAGGCGACGAUCAGUAUCUGGUUUGAGAGGACGAUCAGACACACUGGAACUGAGACACGGUCCAGACUCCUACGGGAGGCAGCAG
rnacentral:rRNA from 1 species